rnacentral:rRNA from 1 species
AGUCGAGGGGUAUAGUUCUUCGGAGCUAGAGACCGGCGCACGGGUGCGUAACGCGUAUGCAAUCUACCUUUCACAAAGGGAUAGCCCAGAGAAAUUUGGAUUAAUACCUUAUAGUAUAUAUGAAUGGCAUCAUUUAUAUAUUAAAGAUUUAUCGGUGAAAGAUGAGCAUGCGUCCCAUUAGCUAGUUGGUAAGGUAACGGCUUACCAAGGCAACGAUGGGUAGGGGUCCUGAGAGGGAGAUCCCCCACACUGGUACUGAGACACGGACCAGACUCCUACGGGAGGCAGCAGUGAGGAAUAUUGGACAAUGGGAGCAAGCCUGAUCCAGCCAUGCCGCGUGCAGGAUGACGGUCCUAUGGAUUGUAAACUGCUUUUAUACGAGAAGAAACACUCCGACGUGUCGGAGCUUGACGGUAUCGUAAGAAUAAGGAUCGGCUAACUCCGUGCCAGCAGCCGCGGUAAUACGGAGGAUCCAAGCGUUAUCCGGAAUCAUUGGGUUUAAAGGGUCCGUAGGCGGUCAGGUAAGUCAGUGGUGAAAGCCCAUCGCUCAACGGUGGAACGGCCAUUGAUACUGUCUGACUUGAAUUAUUAGGAAGUAACUAGAAUAUGUAGUGUAGCGGUGAAAUGCUUAGAGAUUACAUGGAAUACCAAUUGCGAAGGCAGGUUACUACUAAUGGAUUGACGCUGAUGGACGAAAGCGUGGGUAGCG